ensembl:miRNA MIR15B microRNA 15b
UUGAGGCCUUAAAGUACUCUAGCAGCACAUCAUGGUUUACAUACUAUAGUCAAGAUGCGAAUCAUUAUUUGCUGCUCUAGAAAUUUAAGGAAAUUCAU